GUGAGUAUAGCUCAGUGGCAGAACACAUGCUUAGCAUGCAUGGGGUCCUGGGCUCAAUCCCCAGUCCUUCUA
rnacentral:tRNA from 1 species